rnacentral:lncRNA from 1 species
UUCAAUCUUCCUCAUCUCAUUCAAUAUAAACCCUAAGCUCAUUUCUUCUUAAAAGCUUCAACUACCUAUUGAAACUCUGCCAAAAUCCACCCUCAAACAUUACCAAACCCUCACUCUAAAGAUAAAUAUCCACCAUUGAUUAGAGGUUCACAUUGAAUAUUUGAAUUAAUUGAGCUAGAACCUCCAUUCUACAUUAACUGUCCAUCAUCACCAGCGUUGUAAAUUCAACAUAGCUCAUCAUUC